rnacentral:rRNA from 1 species
AGAGUUUGAUCCUGGCUCAGGACGAACGCUGGCGGCGUGCUUAACACAUGCAAGUCGAGCGAUGAGAUCACUUCGGUGAUGGAUUAGCGGCGAACGGGUGAGGAACACGUGAAGAAUCUGCCUUCAACUCUGGGAUAACUCCGGGAAACCGGGGCUAAUACCGGAUAUGAGCCUUGAUCGCAUGAUCGGGGCUGGAAAGUUUUUCGGUUGAAGAUGACUUCGCGGCCUAUCAGCUUGUUGGUGAGGUAAUGGCUCACCAAGGCGACGACGGGUAGCCGGCCUGAGAGGGCGACCGGCCACACUGGGACUGAGACACGGCCCAGACUCCUACGGGAGGCAGCAGUGGGGAAUAUUGGGCAAUGGAGGAAACUCUGACCCAGCGACGCCGCGUGCGGGAUGAAGGCCUUCGGGUUGUAAACCGCUUUCAGCAGGGAAUAAGCGCAAGUGAAGGUACCUGCAGAAGAAGCACCGGCUAACUAUGUGCCAGCAGCCGCGGUAAUACAUAGGGUGCAAGCGUUGUCCGGAAUUAUUGGGCGUAAAGAGCUCGUAGGUGGUUUGUUACGUCGAUCGUGAAAUUCAGGGGCUCAACCCCUGACUUGCGGUCGAUACGGGCAAGCUAGAGUUUGGUAGGGGAGACUGGAAUUCCUGGUGUAGCGGUGGAAUGCGCAGAUAUCAGGAGGAACACCGAUGGCGAAGGCAGGUCUCUGGGCCAAUACUGACACUGAGGAGCGAAAGCGUGGGGAGCGAACAGGAUUAGAUACCCUGGUAGUCCACGCCGUAAACGGUGGGCGCUAGUUGUGCGAACCUUCCACGGUUUGUGCGACGCAGCUAACGCAUUAAGCGCCCCG